rnacentral:rRNA from 1 species
UACGAAGGGGGCUAGCGUUGUUCGGAAUUACUGGGCGUAAAGCGCGUGUAGGCGGGUCUUUAAGUCAGGGGGGAAAUGCCAAGGCUCAACCUUGGAACUGCCUUUGAUACUGGAGAUCUUGAGUCCGGGAGAGGUGAGUGGAACUGCGAGUGUAGAGGUGAAAUUCGUAGAUAUUCGCAAGAACACCAGUGGCGAAGGCGGCUCACUGGCCCGGAACUGACGCUGAGGCGCGAAAGCGUGGGGAGCAAACAGG